UACAGAGGUCCCGAGCGUUGUUCGGAUUCACUGGGCGUAAAGGGUGCGUAGGUGGCGAGGUAAGUCGGAUGUGAAAGCUCGGAGCUCAACUCCGAAAUGGCAUUGGAAACUACCUUGCUCGAGGAUUGGAGGGGGGACUGGAAUACUUGGUGUAGCAGUGAAAUGCGUAGAUAUCAAGUGGAACACCAGUGGCGAAGGCGAGUCCCUGGACAACUCCUGACACUGAGGCACGAAAGCUAGGGGAGCAAACAGG
rnacentral:rRNA from 1 species